CAGCCAAUGAGGAAACACUGACUAACAAAUCAUGCCACGUCCUGGUUCGAGUCGUCUGUGAACUUCUUGCGGUCCUGAGGGUUCGGAGCGUUGAAGCUGAUGAGGACUUUGAUGUCAGCACCUGGAAUGGCCGACGUGAGCCGGAUGCCAUUUGGAGAGAAGGACUGCCUGAAGCUGUACGUAACGGAGUUCUUUUUCUUCUGGAAGAUCUUCGUCACCUAUGGAGGACCCAAUAUAACACACAUCACGCUGAGAGAGGCAUUCAAG